GAACGCUGGCGGCAGGCCUAACACAUGCAAGUCGAACGCCCUAGCAAUAGGGAGUGGCAGACGGGUGAGUAACACGUGGGAACCUUCCCUAUAGUAUGGAAUAGCCCAGGGAAACUUGGAGUAAUACCGUAUACGCCCGAGAGGGGAAAGAUUUAUCGCUAUAGGAUGGGCCCGCGUAGGAUUAGCUAGUUGGUGAGGUAACGGCUCACCAAGGCGACGA
rnacentral:rRNA from 1 species